rnacentral:rRNA from 1 species
GAUGAACGCUAGCUACAGGCUUAACACAUGCAAGUCGAGGGGCAGCAUGAACUUAGCUUGCUAAGUUUGAUGGCGACCGGCGCACGGGUGAGUAACACGUAUCCAACCUGCCGAUGACUCGGGGAUAGCCUUUCGAAAGAAAGAUUAAUACCCGAUGGCAUAGUUCUUCCGCAUGGUAGAACUAUUAAAGAAUUUCGGUCAUCGAUGGGGAUACGUUCCAUUAGGUUGUUGGCGGGGUAACGGCCCACCAAGCCUUCGAUGGAUAGGGGUUCUGAGAGGAAGGUCCCCCACAUUGGAACUGAGACACGGUCCAAACUCCUACGGGAGGCAGCAGUGAGGAAUAUUGGUCAAUGGACGAGAGUCUGAACCAGCCAAGUAGCGUGAAGGAUGACUGCCCUAUGGGUUGUAAACUUCUUUUAUACGGGAAUAAAGUGAGGCACGUGUGCCUUUUUGUAUGUACCGUAUGAAUAAGGAUCGGCUAACUCCGUG